rnacentral:rRNA from 1 species
ACGGGUGAGUAACGCGUGGGAAUCUACCCAUCUCUACGGAACAACUCCGGGAAACUGGAGCUAAUACCGUAUACGUCCUUCGGGAGAAAGAUUUAUCGGAGAUGGAUGAGCCCGCGUUGGAUUAGCUAGUUGGUGGGGUAAAGGCCUACCAAGGCGACGAUCCAUAGCUGGUCUGAGAGGAUGAUCAGCCACACUGGGACUGAGACACGGCCCAGACUCCUACGGGAGGCAGCAGUGGGGAAUAUUGGACAAUGGGCGAAAGCCUGAUCCAGCCAUGUCGCGUGAGUGAUGAAGGCCCUAGGGUUGUAAAGCUCCUUCAACGGUGAAGAUAAUGACGGUAACCGUAGAAGAAGCCCCGGCUAACUUCGUGCCAGCAGCCGCGGUAAUACGAAGGGGGCUAGCGUUGUUCGGAAUUACUGGGCGUAAAGCGCACGUAGGCGGAUACUUAAGUUAGGGGUGAAAUCCCAGAGCUCAACUCUGGAACUGCCUUUAAUACUGGGUAUCUCGAGUCCGGAAGAGGUGAGUGGAAUUCCGAGUGUAGAGGUGAAAUUCGUAGA